AGUUUAUUUGGAGAACUGGCUGUCAUGGUUAGGGCGUCUGAGAGAUCCCACGGUAAACUGGGAAGGUGGUUCUGCCGUCAGUCUAAGUUUGAAGACUUCGGAACCAAGAAACCUCUCAGUCUGAGGCUGAAGGCUCAGAAACCCAAAAGGUUGUGAGUGCAGGUCUCAGAGUCCAAAGUCUGGAGACCCUGCAGGGUUGAUGCCCCAGACCAAAAGGACACUCUGGUUUCUUGAGAAAUAAAUAAUAUGAUGUUGUGCUGAUCCGAGAAGUUGGAAUAAUCUCUCCAAGGUGCUGACCCACAGGAACAGGAUAGGAAUCAUAUAAGCAAUUGAAACUUUUCUAUAACCGUCUUCAAUGUGUAUAAGGAAAACAGUGUAACUAAUUGAAAUAGUACAUUUUGUUUAAGAUAUCAGAUUUCAAAAAGUAUUAUUUCAACAGAUAAUCAAUAAAAUGUAUUUAUUUUAUAUCCCA